rnacentral:rRNA from 1 species
UACGGAGGGGGCGAGCGUUAUUCGGAAUUAUUGGGCGUAAAGGGCGCGUAGGCGGCUUGAUGUGUCAAAGGUGAAAUCCCUCGGCUCAACUGAGGAACUGCCUUUGAAACUGUCUGGCUUGAGGCCGGGAGAGGGUAGCGGAAUUCCCAGUGUAGCGGUGAAAUGCGUAGAUACUGGGAGGAACACCGGUGGCGAAGGCGGCUACCUGGACCGGUUCUGACGCUGAUGCGCGAAAGCGUGGGUAGCAAACGGG